GGAAAGGGCCUUGAGUCACACUGUGGGAGGUAGAUUCUAGAAGAAGGACGUUGAGGAAAUGAGAAGCCACAGUAAUUCUAGACUCCCCUGGAGAAUGAUACUUGUAUGGCCCGCCAGAAAGGGAGAGGAAGCUGCUCAGGGCUCUCACAGCCACAGGCCCUGGGAUGCUACCCGGCUGGCUGAGGGACAGGAGCUCAGAACCCUGUGCCUAUCCAGCUGGAAAGCUCUGAUCUGAAAGAAAUCACAGGAAACUUGGUGACUUGCUUGAAUUUCAUAGUAUAAGAAGGACCUAAGCAGAACAACGGAACAUUACCCAUCUCUUGAAAGAAUAGUUACGAAAACUUCUCCUAUACACAGAAAACACUCAUUUUGGAUACACGGCUAGAAAGGUCCACACCUAAGGGAAGGAGAACCUGGACUGGGCCGAGUGAAGGGCGAAGGGUGGGAAGGAGGAGGAGGGAGGGACAGGGAGCCCUGGCACUCAGGUGAUUUCCAUAUACUGGGGAGUCAUGGCCAGCAACCUGUCCAUCCAGUCUGGCCACAGGCUCCGCCCAUCACACCACCAGCCUGGACCGCCCAGCCUUGGGUCAGUGGCCUGACCUCACAGCUGCGCUCCCUCACCUCCCAGAAUUCCAGAGGGGAGCUGUCAACCCUAAGGAAACAAGUCUGGUCUCUUUGGCCCCAAACCGCACACCCAGACCUAUUCAUAGUGAGAUUGCACAACCAGCUGGAGGCCAGCCCAGCUGGGCAUGGGAGAGCAGCACGCUCCGGAGCCAGGUUCUGGCCCCCAGGCACCCCAGGGCGAGGCUGUGCCCAUGGCUCUGGGGCCUCCAGGGUUUCACUGGCUCCCCCCAAGUGGGAGAACUUGUUCUUCUUAAGGAGACACUAACACCUUCCCACUGUCCCACCAUGCAGGCUGGCACAGGGGUUGGGGGCUCUGGUUAGUGCACUCAGAAAUCAGGUGGCAGGCUUUUAUAAAAGAGGAAGCUGAGUCACCGGGUAAGCGCCUUACGUCUGUGUGGGCAGCUGGUGACAUGGGGGAGAGAGAAGAAAUCAGCUUGGGAAUGGGGCAGACCUGGAACUGAACCAGCUGAACAAUGAUGUGGGAGUCGGUUCACUUCUCAGGUCUGUAUUCUUGUUUGUGAAAUGGAAACAAGGUUGGCUGUCUGCAGAGGUGGGAGGAUCACGAGCAAGCUGCCCAGGAGGCAUCCACAGCACACUUCAAGUCAGGAGCCAGCUCCAUCAAGGUCCUCCCCUCUCCAGACACAUCUCCCUGGCCCACACUCCGUGGGUGGUGGUUUUUUUCUUUCUUUUUUUUAUCAUAUAAAAACAUACAACAAAAUUAAUCUGAUAUUAGUGAACCCCAUCAGUAUAAUUAGAUUGCAGCAUGGU